CCUACGGGAGACAGCAGUGAGGAAUAUUGGUCAAUGGGCGCAAGCCUGAACCAGCCAAGUCGCGUGAGGGAUGACGGUCCUAUGGAUUGUAAACCUCUUUUGUCGGGGAGCAAAGCCAGCCACGUGUGGCUGGCAGGAGAGUACCCGAAGAAAAAGCAUCGGCUAACUCCGUGCCAGCAGCCGCGGUAAUACGGAGGAUGCGAGCGUUAUCCGGAUUUAUUGGGUUUAAAGGGUGCGUAGGCGGAUGGUUAAGCCAGCGGUAAAAUGUCGGUGCUCAACACCGGCCAGCCGUUGAAACUGGUCUUCUUGAGUGAGCGAGAAGUAUGCGGAAUGCGUGGUGUAGCGGUGAAAUGCAUAGAUAUCACGCAGAACUCCGAUUGCGAAGGCAGCAUACCGGCGCCCAACUGACGCUGAGGCACGAAAGCGUGGGGAUCGAACAGGAUUAGAUACCCUAGUAGUC
rnacentral:rRNA from 1 species